UGGGGAAUUUUGGACGAAUUGGGCGAAAGCCUGAUCCAGCAAUGCCGCGUGUGUGAAGAAGGCCUUCGGGUUGUAAAGCACUUUUGUCCGGAAAGAAAUCCUUGGCUCUAAUACAGUCGGGGGAUGACGGUACCGGAAGAAUAAGCACCGGCUAACUACGUGCCAGCAGCCGCGGUAAUACGUAGGGUGCAAGCGUUAAUCGGAAUUACUGGGCGUAAAGCGUGCGCAGGCGGUUUGCUAAGACCGAUGUGAAAUCCCCGGCUCACUGGACUGCAUGGUGACUGGCAGGCUAGAGUAUGGCAGAGGGGGGCAGAAUUCCACGUGUAGCAGUGAAAUGCGUAGAGAUGUGGAGGAAUACCGAUGGCGAAGGCAGCCCCCUGGCAAGUACUGACGCUCAUGCACGAAAGCGU
rnacentral:rRNA from 1 species